GACAGAGGGUGCAAACGUUGUUCGGAAUUACUGGGCGUAAAGCGAGUGUAGGCGGUUUGGUAAGUCGGAUGUGAAAGCCCCGGGCUCAACCCGGGAAGUGCACUCGAUACUGCCAAGCUAGAGUAUCGGAGAGGUUGGUGGAAUUCUCGGUGUAGAGGUGAAAUUCGUAGAUAUCGAGAGGAACACCGGUGGCGAAGGCGGCCAACUGGACGAAUACUGACGCUGAGAACUCGAAAGGCGUGGGGAGCAAACAGG
rnacentral:rRNA from 1 species